rfam:Ipomoea nil DNA, scaffold: scaffold1014, cultivar: Tokyo-kokei standard.
UCCGUUGUAGUCUAGUUGGUUAGGAUACUCGGCUCUCACCGAGAGACCCGGGUUCAAUUCCCGCAACGAAA